UGGGAGCGGCAGACGGGUGAGUAAUACGUUGGAACCUGCCCCAAAGUCAGGGAUAACCAGUAGAAAUAUUGGCUAAUACCGGAUAGUCACGAAAGUGUAAAGCUUUUGCGCUUUGGGAGGGGCCUGCGGUCUAUCAGCUUGUUGGUAAGGUAAUGGCUUACCAAGGCUAUGACGGAUAGCUGGUUUGAGAGAAUGAUCAGCCACAAUGGAACUGAGACACGGUCCAUACUCCUACGGGAGGCAGCAGUGAGGAAUCUUCCGCAAUGGGCGAAAGCCUGACGGAGCAACACCGCGUGAAGGAUGAAGGUCGUAAGAUUGUAAACUUCUUUUCUGAGGGAAGAAUUCUGACGGUACCUCAGGAAUAAGCAUCGGCUAACUACGUGCCAGCAGCCGCGGUAAGACGUAGGAUGCAAGCGUUAUCCGGAAUUAUUGGGCAUAAAGAGUUCGUAGGCGGUUUGUUAAGUUGGAUGUUAAAUUUUUGAGCUCAACUUAAAAAAGUAUCCAAAACUGGCAAACUGGAGACUGGUAGAGGUAAGUGGAAUUCUGCAUGUAGGGGUAAUAUCCGUAGAUAUGCAGAGGAACACCAAAAGCGAAGGCAGCUUACUGGACCAGUUCUGACGCUCAAGAACGAAAGCGUGG
rnacentral:rRNA from 1 species